AGCCCAUUAUAUGUACCCAAGAGUUCAACAGGAAUAGAAAUGUGUGCUAAUGGAUUUGAAAGAUCUACUGUCUUACAGAUAAGAACAAAGGAUAUCUCAGGACAAACUAAGCAAUUAAACUCCAAAUGGUACUGCAAGCAGAACCACACAUGGACACGCCAUUCUUCCAAGAAUCCUUAAAUCAACCUCAGGAGAAGGCCCAACUGCUGCUCCCCUGCAUGCUCCUUUUCAGCAGGAAGUGGCCACAAAGAAUCAUCGUCCAACACCCCCUAACAGCAGUUAGGUUUGCUUCUCUUGAGGGGGGAAAUAAUACAGGUGUUACUUAAAAAAGUUUUUUUAGGCAGAGAGAGAGGCUAAAAGGAGUUCUUGGUAAGGCUUUUUCUGUUAAUAAAAGCAAACCCCGAACCAUUUCUUUUCUAACAGAAAAACCGCUUGAAGGGCCGGGCCAGGAAGCUUUGAUACGCAAAUGCCGCCCGUUAGAAAUGGUCCACCCAAUAUGGCGACUCCUGCCUUCUUCUUGUCACCAUGUGUGCCAAGUGUCAUGGCUACCUCCAGAUAAUACCAUGUGUUCAGAACAUCAUGGCGAUCCGUAUUUGCAUAUUAAAGAGCUAAGGUGGGAAAUUUCGCCAGGUUUUUCACAGGCAAUGUAAAUAACAUACCUGGUCAAACCAAUCCCCUGGGCCCUAUGCAAACCAGACACCACCUCCUCCAGCAUCCCAAUAUAAGCAACCACUUUUCCUGCCACACACGGGGUUUCUCGUCGUUCGAAUCCCCCCUCCCUUUGUCUCUGUACCGGGGAGCUGUUUUCUUCCUUGCUUCUCUCUUGCCUAAUAAACUCUCCGCUCCUUAAAACUACUCCACACGUGUCUGUGUCAUUUUAUCUAAACUGGCGCGAGACCAAGGACCCUGGUGUUCCUUCAGUCAUCGGAGCCAUGUCAUUUACACCUCUCUUGGUCCUAUUCUUGUCUCACUCUCCUUUGCCUUCCAUACACACAGGCACAUAAAAAUGAGACUUUUAAAAAAUUAAGUUUAUACUCACAUCUCUGUUACCUCCCACAACAAUAACUAGAUCGUGAGCUCCUUGGGAAAAAGUCUGGGUCUCGGGGGCCAAAUUUUUUUCCAGUGCCUCAUGUACACGAGGUCAUAAACAAAUGCCCUUCCUGAGGCUACCCAAG
rnacentral:lncRNA from 1 species